CCUACGGGUGGCAGCAGUGAGGAAUAUUGGUCAAUGGGCUGACGCCUGAACCAGCCAAGUCGCGUGAGGGAAUAAUGCCCUAUGGGUUGUAAACCUCUUUUGUCAGGGAGCAAGUGGCGCGACGUGUAACGUUAUCGAGAGUACCUGAAGAAAAAGCAUCGGCUAACUCCGUGCCAGCAGCCGCGGUAAUACGGAGGAUGCGAGCGUUAUCCGGAUUUAUUGGGUUUAAAGGGUGCGUAGGCGGACUGUCAAGUCAGCGGUAAAACUGCGGGGCUCAACCCCGUCCGGCCGUUGAAACUGGGGGCCUUGAGGGGGCGAGAAGUAGGCGGAAUGCGUGGUGUAGCGGUGAAAUGCAUAGAUAUCACGCAGAACCCCGAUUGCGAAGGCAGCAUUCCGGCGCCCAACUGACGCUGAAGCACGAAAGCGUGGGGAUCGAACAGGAUUAGAUACCCGUGUAGUC
rnacentral:rRNA from 1 species